UCGGAGCUACGCACGAUCCCCUCGUGGAUCUCGCUCUUACAUCGCUCUGGGGAAAGUCCCCAGACGCUUGGCAGAGAGUGCCAGGGCGCAAGGCCCCUAUCCCCGGCCGUAGGCGCACGUGAAACGCGAGGACGCGGUUAACAAGGUACACUCUUAAUCUGGUUCCAUAUAAGUUCCAGUUAAAACGGUGAUCCACAUAUUUUUAUCUGGAUCCGAGCUCUGAAUAAGUGGAACAAGACAUAUAAGUGGAUCUUAUGUGGAACGUUCGUUCUGUUUCCUUUAUGUUUAUCGUUCUUAUCU
rnacentral:SRP_RNA from 1 species